rnacentral:tRNA from 1 species
GCCUGGAUAGUUCAACUGGUAGAGCAUCAGAUUUUAAUCUGAAGGUACGGGGUUCAAAUCCCUCUUUACCCA